UUGAGAGUCCUGAAGGAACGUUGAAGACGACGACGUUGAUAGGCCGGAUGUGUAAGCGCAGCGAUGCGUUGAGCUAACCGGUACUAAUGAACCGUGAGGCUUAACCUUACAACGCCGAAGGUGUUU
rnacentral:rRNA from 1 species